GGAGAGUCUGACGGAGCACGCCGCGUGAACGAUGAAGGCCUUCGGGUCGUAAAGUUCUGUUGUUAGGGAAGAACAAGUACCGGAGUAACUGCCGGUACCUUGACGGUACCUAACCAGAAAGCCACGGCUAACUACGUG
rnacentral:rRNA from 1 species